rnacentral:rRNA from 1 species
UGGGGAAUUUUGGACAAUGGGGGCAACCCUGAUCCAGCAAUGCCGCGUGUGUGAAGAAGGCCUUCGGGUUGUAAAGCACUUUUGUCCGGAAAGAAAUCCCCUGGGUUAAUACCUCGGGGGGAUGACGGUACCGGAAGAAUAAGCACCGGCUAACUACGUGCCAGCAGCCGCGGUAAUACGUAGGGUGCGAGCGUUAAUCGGAAUUACUGGGCGUAAAGCGUGCGCAGGCGGUUUUGUAAGACAGGCGUGAAAUCCCCGAGCUCAACUUGGGAAUGGCGCUUGUGACUGCAAGGCUAGAGUAUGUCAGAGGGGGGUAGAAUUCCACGUGUAGCAGUGAAAUGCGUAGAGAUGUGGAGGAAUACCGAUGGCGAAGGCAGCCCCCUGGGACGUCACUGACGCUCAUGCACGAAAGCGUGGGGAGCAAACAGG